rnacentral:rRNA from 1 species
GAUCAUCCAACUAUCGAAGAAUGAUAUUAUUCGGUAUUACUGGGCUUAAAGCGUGUGUAGGCGGAAUCAUAAGCGUCUUGUGAAAUCCCCCGGCUUAACCGGGGAAUUGCUCGACGAACUGUAAUUCUUGAGGCAAGUAGGGGUGCAUGGAACUCUUGGUGGAGCGGUGGAAUGCGUAGAUAUCAAGAGGAACGCCAGUGGUGAAGACGGUGCACUGGGCUUGUCCUGACGCUGAGACACGAAAGCGUGGGGAGCGAACGGGAUUAGAUACCCCGGUAGUCCACGCUGUAAACGAUGCCUACUAGGUCGUGGUGGUUCUGACACCAGCACGGCCGAAGCAAAAGUGUUAAGUAGGCCGCCUGGGGAGUACGGUCGCAAGGCUAAAACUCAAAGGAAUUGACGGGCUCACACAAGCGGUGGAGCAUGUGGAUUAAUUCGAAUCAACGCGCAGAACCUUACCUGGGUUUGACAUGCUUGGAUGCUUGCUUGGAAACAGGUUAAGCUGCCCUUCGGGGUGAAACUUGCACAGGUGCUGCAUGGCUGUCGUCAGCUCGUGUCGUGAGAUGUCGGGUUAAGUCCUUUAACGAGCGAAACCCUUGCCGUUAGUUGCCAGCGGGUAAUGCCGGGGACUCUAGCGGGACUGCCGGUGUUAAACCGGAGGAAGGUGGGGAUGACGUCAAGUCAUCAUGGCCUUUAUGCCCAGGGCCUCACACGUGCUACAAUGGCGGAUACAGAGCGAAGCAAGACCGCGAGGUGGAGCAAAUCGCAAAAAGUCCGCCCCAGUUCGGAUUGCAGGCUGUCAACUCGCCUGCAUGAAGGUGGAAUCGCUAGUAAUCGCGUAUCAGCUAUGACGCGGUGAAUGUGUUCCUGAGCCUUGUACACACCGCCCGUCAAGUGAUGGGGGUUGGGAGUACCCGAAGUCGGGUUGCCAACCUUUCGAGGGGGCGCCUGCCGACGGUAAGCCCGAUGACUGGCACUCGAAACAAGGUA